rnacentral:misc_RNA from 1 species
GAUGAAGAACGUAGCGAAAUGCGACAAUUAAUGUGAAUUGCAGAAUUCAGUGAAUCAUCGAGUCUUUGAACGCACAUUGCGCCCCCUGGUAUUCCGGGGGGCAUGCCUGUCCGAGCGUCAUUGCUGCCCUCAAGCCCGGCUUGUGUGUUGGGCCUCGUCCCCCCUCCGGGGGACGGGCCCGAAAGGCAGCGGCGGCACCGUGUCCGGUCCUCGAGCGUAUGGGGCUUUGUCACCUGCUCUGUAGGCCCGGCCGGCGCCUUAGCCGACGACACAAUCUUUUUUUUCAGGUUGACCUCGGAUCAGGUAGGGAUACCCGCUGAACUUAAGCAUAUCAAUAAGCGGAGGA